ensembl:lncRNA
AGCCAACACACGGAAGUCUGCCAAAAAUGAUGAAAGCACUUGGGGGAAAAAGAAUUCAAUAACAGGACUCCAGAGGCUGACAGCUCUCAACCUCAAUCCCCCACUACCACCAUCAGUGUGAAACCUCUGACCCUCGGGUACAGGGGAGCAGUGGAAGGAAUCAAUGUUCCCAGAAGUAAUGCAGGCCAUAUAGCCAAACAUGACAUCUCUACAGCCGUUCUUACGUCUACUAUAACUCUGUGAAAGUACACAGCAUUUUUCCCUUUACAUUUUUUUUUUGAAAGAGGAUAAGUGGAAAGAUUCUCAGUGAUUCUGGAAGGAUGAGGACAGCUAAGAGUGAGGGAGCAGAGGCUGGGAGGAAUGCAAAUACUUCCUCAUUACUCUUUUGGGUAACUCAGCUUCUUGAUCUCUAUUAAUUCUUCACCCUGGACUGCACUCUCAAGUGCAAUCAGACUUCUGAUAUCAAUAUCCACAACAUCCAUGAACUGUUUCCCUGAACCUUAAGGCAAUAUGGAAAGAUACUGAGUUUUUCUAUCUGAUACCAGCAAAAGACUUAUCCCAAGUCACUAAGAAACCCAGUGAGGGGAGAAAGGAUAACUAGAACAGUUCUCUUGUGGUCUGAUAGGUAACUUCGGUGAACAUUCUUUUUCUCCUCCCCCCACUGACAUUUAUAGUAACUAGAUCACACCUACCAGAGCUGAUGCCACAAAUGUUACUGCUCCUUGGGCACUCUAGUGAAGGAGAAAGAGAGAGCAAUGCCAUGGCAAAGAUGAUUGGAAACACUAUGAGGAUGAGAGGCAAUGACAUUUAUUUUCACAGGUUCCCUGGAGAGUCACCAAAAAUCCUAUAGCCCUCAAAGUCUGACAGGUCCUUAUCUGCUCCCUCAGGAGUGGUUGUGAUGACAGCAUCAACAUCUUUUGAUAGGUGCCUGAACCCAAGCAUGUGAUGAAUAUAGUUAAUUAACACACUAAUAUCAGCCCACAGUAUUAUAG